rnacentral:lncRNA from 1 species
UCGGGUGGAAGUUUUAAAGCAUAGAUUUCUUUCUUCCAAAAUGAGAAACUCGCAAAAGCAUUUCAACAAUCAUACAAAAGAGAAUGCUAUAAUCCCGAUUUUCCCUUUCAUUAAUAACAAGAUAUUCCGUGAAUGAUGGAUCACAUUUCUAGGAAGAGAGCACUUAUUCACCAAAAUUGAAUUUGAAAUAUUCAUUUAUAAAUUAACUUUCCGAAGGAUCAGCCACUAAUAUUCUUGACAGUCAAUAGUUGUCUAACACAUAUCAAUAUACUCUAAGAAAUCAUUUUAUGUUAGUGUUAACAAAUAAUAGCUUUACAAAAUUGUAUUACAAUUUCACUGUUGCAAAUCACUAAUAGGUGAACAUACAAAAAAUAGACACAAGCUUUAUAUCAAUGCCAAAUAGAGGAUGCUCUUUUCUCAGCUACAAUGAAUUCACCUUCGGGCACAGUCCUUCGUCCACUUUCUGCACCAA